UUUGAAGAUCAGCGGCGGACGGGUGAGUAACACGUGGGCAACCUGCCUGUAAGACUGGGAUAACUUCGGGAAACCGGAGCUAAUACCGGAUAAUCCUUUCCCUCACAUGAGGGAAAGCUGAAAGACGGUUUCGGCUGUCACUUACAGAUGGGCCCGCGGCGCAUUAGCUAGUUGGUGAGGUAAUGGCUCACCAAGGCAACGAUGCGUAGCCGACCUGAGAGGGUGAUCGGCCACACUGGGACUGAGACACGGCCCAGACUCCUACGGGAGGCAGCAGUAGGGAAUCUUCCGCAAUGGACGAAAGUCUGACGGAGCAACGCCGCGUGAGCGAUGAAGGCCUUCGGGUCGUAAAGCUCUGUUGUCAGGGAAGAACAAGUACCGGAGUAACUGCCGGUACCUUGACGGUACCUGACCAGAAAGCCACGGCUAACUACGUGCCAGCAGCCGCGGUAAUACGUAGGUGGCAAGCGUUGUCCGGAAUUAUUGGGCGUAAAGCGCGCGCAGGCGGUUCCUUAAGUCUGAUGUGAAAGCCCCCGGCUCAACCGGGGAGGGUCAUUGGAAACUGGGGAACUUGAGUGCAGAAGAGGAGAGCGGAAUUCCACGUGUAGCGGUGAAAUGCGUAGAGAUGUGGAGGAACACCAGUGGCGAAGGCGGCUCUCUGGUCUGUAACUGACGCUGAGGCGCGAAAGCGUGGGGAGCGAACAGGAUUAGAUACCCUGGUAGUCCACGCCGUAAACGAUGAGUGCUAAGUGUUAGAGGGUUUCCGCCCUUUAGUGCUGCAGCAAACGCAUUAAGCACUCCGCCUGGGGAGUACGGCCGCAAGGCUGAAACUCAAAGGAAUUGACGGGGGCCCGCACAAGCGGUGGAGCAUGUGGUUUAAUUCGAAGCAACGCGAAGAACCUUACCAGGUCUUGACAUCCUCUGACAACCCUAGAGAUAGGGCGUUCCCCUUCGGGGGACAGAGUGACAGGUGGUGCAUGGUUGUCGUCAGCUCGUGUCGUGAGAUGUUGGGUUAAGUCCCGCAACGAGCGCAACCCUUGAUCUUAGUUGCCAGCAUUAAGUUGGGCACUCUAAGGUGACUGCCGGUGACAAACCGGAGGAAGGUGGGGAUGACGUCAAAUCAUCAUGCCCCUUAUGACCUGGGCUACACACGUGCUACAAUGGAUGGAACAAAGGGCAGCGAAGCCGCGAGGUGAAGCCAAUCCCAUAAAACCAUUCUCAGUUCGGAUUGCAGGCUGCAACUCGCCUGCAUGAAGCCGGAAUCGCUAGUAAUCGCG
rnacentral:rRNA from 3 species